rnacentral:rRNA from 1 species
GGGCCCGCACAAGCGGUGGAGCAUGUGGUUUAAUUCGAUGCAACGCGAAGAACCUUACCUACUCUUGACAUCCAGAGAAGCCAGCGGAGACGCAGGUGUGCCUUCGGGAGCUCUGAGACAGGUGCUGCAUGGCUGUCGUCAGCUCGUGUUGUGAAAUGUUGGGUUAAGUCCCGCAACGAGCGCAACCCUUAUCCUUGUUUGCCAGCGAGUAAUGUCGGGAACUCCAGGGAGACUGCCGGUGAUAAACCGGAGGAAGGUGGGGACGACGUCAAGUCAUCAUGGCCCUUACGAGUAGGGCUACACACGUGCUACAAUGGCGCAUACAGAGGGUGCGAACUUGCGAGAGUGAGCGAAUCCCAAAAAGUGCGUCGUAGUCCGGAUUGGAGUCUGCAACUCGACUCCAUGAAGUCGGAAUC